CAUGGCUCAUUUUAUGCUUCAUGUUCAGUGAUGUAAGGCAGUCAACUUGAAGAACAGGUGAAAGUGGUAAUUCUUACUGUCCUGGACAUACUUGUAGAUGUCUGAAAUGUAUGAAUAAUUGCUGGACUUAAUUGGCCAUCUCUAAAACUGGCAGUCCUGAAAAGGACAAGUCUGAUCUGUGAGUCCACCCUCGUUCUUCUUCCAGUACUGCAUUAGGACAAGGAUGCACUCUCUGCACAGGUUCAAGUUCAGUAAUUUAGAAUCUGCCAAAACUUCCAGGCUCAAUUUUCUCGUGCUGACCCAGUCCCAUAAUACUUGGAUUACAGCAGCGGUGGUUCUGUGGAAGCAGAUGCCUAACUCCCACAACUGCAGGAGAGAGGAACCAUGGAGCAUUGAUUACUAAAUCACUGUUGAUGAUACAUGAUUCCACUACACUAACAACACACAUCAUUACAAAUAUUGCCUAGUGUCUAAUCUCACAAUAAACACACAAACUGCCUUCACCAGGGAACAUUCA